ACCCAGGGUUGCAAGUCAGGGCUUCCUAUAGCUUGGGUGGCCAUUUUACAAGGGACCUUCAUUGUUUCAGGUUGUUAGAAUUAUAUGGACAAAAUGGAGCUGAGCAUUUGUUUGUUUUGGUGGGUCUGAGGGUUGUUUUCAGCAAGAAAAUUAAGGAAUUAUGGGAAGAAUACUAGAUGGGGAAAUGUAUGCACUGUUUAAUUACCUUAUUGUAUGUAAUUGACUCUCGG